rnacentral:rRNA from 1 species
UGGGGAAUAUUGCACAAUGGGGGGAAACCCUGAUGCAGCAACGCCGCGUGAGUGAAGAAGUAUUUCGGUAUGUAAAGCUCUAUCAGCAGGGAAGAAAAUGACGGUACCUGACUAAGAAGCCCCGGCUAACUACGUGCCAGCAGCCGCGGUAAUACGUAUGGUGCAAGCGUUAUCCGGAUUUACUGGGUGUAAAGGGAGCGCAGGCGGUGCGGCAAGUCUGAUGUGAAGCCCCGGGGCUCAACCCCCGGUACUGCAUUGGAAACUGUCGUACUAGAGUGUCGGAGGGGUAAGCGGAAUUCCUAGUGUAGCGGUGAAAUGCGUAGAUAUUAGGAGGAACACCAGUGGCGAAGGCGGCUUACUGGACGGUAACUGACGUUGAGGCUCGAAAGCGUGGGGAGCAAACAGGAUUAGAUACCC